GACAGAGGGUGCAAACGUUGUUCGGAAUUACUGGGCGUAAAGCGCACGUAGGCGGACUUUUAAGUCGGAGGUGAAAUCCUAGAGCUCAACUCCAGAACUGCCUUCGAUACUGAGAGUCUUCGAGUUCGGGAGAGGUGAGUGGAACUGCGAGUGUAGAGGUGAAAUUCGUAGAUAUUCGCAAGAACACCAGUGGCGAAGGCGGCUCACUGGCCCGAUACUGACGCUGAGGUGCGAAAGCGUGGGGAGCAAACAGG
rnacentral:rRNA from 1 species